rnacentral:rRNA from 1 species
AGCCCUAAGCGGGUGGUAAACUCCAUCUAAGGCUAAAUAUGACCACGAGACCGAUAGCGAACAAGUACCGUGAGGGAAAGUUGAAAAGCACUUUGAAGAGAGAGUUCAAGAGUACGUGAAACCGUUUAGGGGUAAACCUGAGAAACCCGAAAGGUCGAAGGAAGAAAUUCAUUCGCGUUUCGUCGCAGGCGUCGAGCGGGAUCGUGUGACGGGGAGCGUUCGCGCGUUUCCCGCGCCUUCCGUUCUUCGAACCGGUGACGAACGCGUGCACUUUUCUUCUGGUAGGACGUCGCGAUCCGUUGGGUGUCGGUCUACGGCUCGCGGUGGAGCCCGUUCGUCGUAUUUAUCGUACGUACGAACGGACCCGCGUGUCCCGGCUGACUCGCUCGACGGUAUGCGAAAGGUUUAAGGCCGCUCUCGGAGCGUUCGGCUCGCGGCAAGCGCGUCAGAUGCGUCGGCGAUCGGACCCAGUGCCGAUUCUGACCUCUGGUGACUGUUGGCCGCGAAGUUCUCGAACAGACCUUAAGACCGAUCUGCGACGCUAUAGCUUUGGGUACUUUCAG